GGAGGGAGCUAGCGUUGUUCGGAAUUACUGGGCGUAAAGCGUACGUAGGCGGUUAUUCAAGUCAGGGGUGAAAGCCCGGGGCUCAACCCCGGAACUGCCUUUGAAACUAGGUAGCUAGAAUCUUGGAGAGGUCAGUGGAAUUCCGAGUGUAGAGGUGAAAUUCGUAGAUAUUCGGAAGAACACCAGUGGCGAAGGCGACUGACUGGACAAGUAUUGACGCUGAGGUACGAAAGCGUGGGGAGCAAACAGGAUUAGAUACCCUGGUAGUCCACGCCGUAAACGAUGAUAACUAGCUGUCCGGGCACUUGGUGCCUGGGUGGCGCAGCUAACGCAUUAAGUUAUCCGCCUGGGGAGUACGGUCGCAAGAUUA
rnacentral:rRNA from 1 species